UGCAUUCCAUUGCUCGUCCACCCCCCGCAUCCCUUCUCCCCCUCCUUCAAUUUCGUCGCCAACCCGAUCCCCCCUUCCGCACAGCCGCCGACCACUACGGUCCGACGCUAGCCGUGGUGAGCUCUAGCCUUCUCCACCUCUUCUCCGGUACUCUUUUCUGAAGUUGGAAUUCCUCCCCCAAACCGUAGGAAAAGAGGCAAGUGCAUUCCUUUAUGUUGGUAUGGAUUCGAUGAGGUGAGGGUUAAAGGUCUUGGAAGGGUUGGAAUGUUUGGUGCUAUGAUGUUCAAAAGUAGGAAUAAGUUGCAAGUUGAUUUCCUUUGACAUUAUUACUUCACCCGGUGAGGGUGUCACCUCCAAGGAUUUGGUAGCGGACGUGGGGACAAAGUAGCUGAGGAGACGAGAUGGGAGCAUGACAUACUGUCCGAGGACCCCUAUGAGCAUGUGAAGGAAUUGUUCGUUUACUGAUCAUGUAGUUGUGGGUUAAAGGAUAUUGUUGGUUAAAGUUGAAGGAUUUACAUAAAUCGGAAAGCAGGGAAUUGAGUGGAGUUUGAGAUUU